rnacentral:rRNA from 1 species
UAAUACGUAGGGAGCGAGCGUUAUCCGGAUUUAUUGGGUGUAAAGGGUGCGUAGGCGUUCUAUUAAGUAUAAAAUCAAAGCCUGGGGCUUAACUCCAGAUCGUUUUAUAAACUGGUAGAAUUGAGUAUGGUAGAGGUAAAUGGAAUUUCUAGUGUAGCGGUGGAAUGCAUAGAUAUUAGAAGGAACACCAGUGGCGAAGGCGAUUUACUGGGCCAUUACUGACGCUGAGGCACGAAAGCGUGGGGAGCAAAUAGGAUUAGAUACCCUAGUAGUCCACGCUGUAAACGAUGAGUACUAAGUGUCGGAUUUUUUCGGUGCUGAAGUUAACAUAUUAAGUACUCCACCUGAGUAGUACGGUCGCAAGGCUGAAACUUAAAGGAAUUGACGGGCACCCGCACAAGCGGUGGAGCAUGCUGUUUAAUUCGAAGAUACGCGAAAAACCUUACCUAGACUUGACAUCCCAUUGACCUCUCUGGAAACAGAGAUUUCUCCUCGGAGACAAUGGAGACAGGUGGUGCAUGGUUGUCGUCAGCUCGUGUCGUGAGAUGUUUGGUUAAGUCCAAUAACGAGCGCAACCCCUUUUCUUAGUUACUAACAUUUAGUUGAGAACCCUAAGAAUACUGCCGGUGUAAAUCGGAGGAAGGUGGGGAUGACGUCAAAUCAUCAUGCCCCUUACGUCUAGGGCUACAGGCGUGCUAUAAUGGCCAGUAUAAUGAGUCGCAAUACCGUGAGGUGGAGCUAAUCUCCAAAGCUGGUCCCAGUUCGGAUUGAAGUCUGCAACUCGACUUCAUGAAGCUAGAAUCGCUAGUAAUCCCAGAUCAGAAUGCUGGGGUGAAUACGUUCCCGGGUGUUGUACACACCGCCCGUCACGCCACGAGAGUUUGUAAUACCUGAUACUGGUAGCCUAACCUUUUAGGAGGGGGCCAAUUAAGGUAGGACAGGCGAUUGAGGUGAAGUCGUAACAAGGUAUCACUACCGGAAGGUGGGGAUG